CAGAUUGAACGCUGGCGGCAGGCUUAACACAUGCAAGUCGAGCGGAAACGAUGAUAGCUUGCUAUCAGGCGUCGAGCGGCGGACGGGUGAGUAAUACUUAGGAAUCUACCUAGUAGUGGGGGAUAGCACGGGGAAACUCGUAUUAAUACCGCAUACGUCCUACGGGAGAAAGGGGGCAACUUGUUGCUCUCGCUAUUAGAUGAGCCUAAGUCGGAUUAGCUAGAUGGUGGGGUAAAGGCCUACCAUGGCGACGAUCUGUAGCUGGUCUGAGAGGAUGAUCAGCCACACCGGGACUGAGACACGGCCCGGACUCCUACGGGAGGCAGCAGUGGGGAAUAUUGGACAAUGGGGGAAACCCUGAUCCAGCCAUGCCGCGUGUGUGAAGAAGGCCUUUUGGUUGUAAAGCACUUUAAGCAGUGAAGAAGACUCUUCGGUUAAUACCCGGAGACGAUGACAUUAGCUGCAGAAUAAGCACCGGCUAACUCUGUGCCAGCAGCCGCGGUAAUACAGAGGGUGCAAGCGUUAAUCGGAAUUACUGGGCGUAAAGCGAGCGUAGGUGGCUUGAUAAGUCAGAUGUGAAAUCCCCGGGCUUAACCUGGGAACUGCAUCUGAAACUGUUAGGCUAGAGUAGGUGAGAGGGAAGUAGAAUUUCAGGUGUAGCGGUGAAAUGCGUAGAGAUCUGAAGGAAUACCGAUGGCGAAGGCAGCUUCCUGGCAUCAUACUGACACUGAGGCUCGAAAGCGUGGGUAGCAAACAGGAUUAGAUACCCUGGUAGUCCACGCCGUAAACGAUGUCUACUAGUCGUUGGGUCCCUUGAGGACUUAGUGACGCAGCUAACGCAAUAAGUAGACCG
rnacentral:rRNA from 1 species